ACGAAACAUAAAAAAUGCAUCGAUUGAAAAUUAAUAUCAUUCGUGUCUUAAAACAUUCAGAACAGGAAGCAUCGUUAAUUAUGAAAUAAUAGAGGGUUGAUUUAAAAGUUAAACGUAUUCAAAUGGUAUUCGAAUCGUAUCUCUAACCUAACCCUAUUAUCUCGUUUUCUGGCGAGUUAUAUAACAAUGUCGAGAGAACAAUGGAUUUGAAAUGCAAAUAAAAACAGAGAACGAGAUAAUGGUUAGGAGAUGAACGAUUAGAACAAUGAUCUUGCAUCAUGUAUGAAUCAUCGGUGAAGCAUCAGCGAUUUACGUCACGACGGUCCCUGUUAUCUGAUCGGGAAAAUCUAUUACCUCUGUUUCAUACACGACAUACCUCUACUACUUGCAUCGCCUGUCCGAUCCAAUUCUAUACUACUUCCCCGGUUAAUUAUCAAACGUGCGAUAGUCUCGAUAUACGAGAUCGCGAAAUCGAUUUAAAUGAUAAGAAAUGCAUUAACGUUGUAUCUAGGCUGUUUCGAUAUUGAAACACACGGAAAUUGAACUGACCAACUCUAUCGAAAUUUACAGGUACAUAUCCUUGUACAACAUGGUAGGCCUGCAACAUUUGCUCCAAUGCGAUGUGAAAAUUGGGAAGAUUCUGCACACAACAUAGUAGGCAAUGAGAAUUUUUAAGUGCAAGUAUUACAACUCGAUAUUUGUUGUUCCAACAAAUGUGCAAGAAUUUUGAAAUAUAUACGGGAAUGUUUAAUUAAUUUCUAGGAAAGUAGCAAUUUGGAACUUUUCUGAUGAAAAAUCGAUGACAUUUUUUACAACAAACAUAAAUGGAAAUCGUACAUAAAUCAACGAAUAUCAGAAGAUGAGGAUAUUUGCCAGAAAGGAAAUUGCCCUCGCUUACGUAAUAUACGUAAUACGUAAUUCUCUUAAUUGUAAGAUAUUUCUCUUAGUUAUAAACAGAGAAUAGUAUACUUUUGUUAAUUUUCAUUCAGAUUCAUCAAGAUCUCUGCGAUAACACGGAUUCGGAUAACUAGACAUAUUUUUGGAACGUAACCAUAUCGUGUUAUACGAGGAUACCUGUAUUCUGUCUUUGAAACCUUAAAUGCAAAUGUCAUAUUGAGAACGUAUAUUGAAAUAUGUAUAUAAAUGUAUAUUGUCUUUAAAACCUUAAAUGCAAAUGUAUAUAAAUGUAUAAAUUUGUUGGAAUUGAUCAAUUUUGCUUCUGACUAACCUAAUUAAAGAAAUAAAUCAUCUGCCAAAAAAGAUACUCAAAUAUUUUACGCACUAAAUCGCUUUUGAAAGUAUGGAAAGUAAAAUUUCUACAUUCCAUCUAUGAAAGGUUAAAUAGUAAUCUAAAUACAUACUGAUAAAAUUAAAACAUUCUUUAAAAAUUUGCUAGAAUUGAUCAAUUCCGCUUCAAAUUGACUUGAUUAAAUAGAUAAAUGAAUUAUCUAAUUAUACAGACAAUAAAAUUUUCAUAUACUAUAUCGGUUUUGGAAGUAUGAAAAAUAAAAUUCGCGCGCAAUUGAAUCUAAUCGAUAUCUAGAUCAACCCUGCGGCUAUACUAUGAAUAAGUUACGGAUUUUUAUGUAUUCACAUAGGAAAUCUAAAAUUGCACAAAUGUAGAAAAUGCACAUAAUAUGAAUAAAUAUACAAAGUACGUAUACAAA